UACGGAGGGGGCUAGCGUUGUUCGGAAUUACUGGGCGUAAAGCGCACGUAGGCGGAUUUUUAAGUCAGGGGUGAAAUCCCGAGGCUCAACCUCGGAACUGCCUUUGAUACUGGAGAUCUUGAGUUCGGAAGAGGUUGGUGGAACAGCUAGUGUAGAGGUGAAAUUCGUAGAUAUUAGCUAGAACACCAGUGGCGAAGGCGGCCAACUGGUCCGAUACUGACGCUGAGGUGCGAAAGCGUGGGGAGCAAACAGG
rnacentral:rRNA from 1 species